GAUGAACGCUGGCGGUAUGCUUAACACAUGCAAGUCGAACGGACUCUUCGGAGUUAGUGGCGGACGGGUGAGUAACGCGUGAGAAUCUGGCUUUGGGUUCGGGACAACCACUGGAAACGGUGGCUAAUACCGGAUGUGCCGAGAGGUAAAAGAGAAAUUGCCUGAAGAUGAGCUCGCGUCUGAUUAGCUAGUUGGUGAGGUAAAGGCUCACCAAGGCAGCGAUCAGUAGCUGGUCUGAGAGGAUGACCAGCCACACUGGGACUGAGACACGGCCCAGACUACACGGGGGGGAAGAGGGGGGGAAUGUCGCAAAAGGGGCGAAGGGCUGAGGGAGAAAUACCGGGAGAGGAAAAAGGUCUUUGGGGUGAAAAACCUCUUUUCUUAGGAAAGAAAAAAAGGAGGGUCCCUAAGGAAUCAGCAACGGCAAACCCGGGC
rnacentral:rRNA from 1 species